GAUGAACGCUGCCGGCGUGCCUAAUACAUGCAAGUCGAGCGAACGGACGAGAAGCUUGCUUCUCUGAUGUUAGCGGCGGACGGGUGAGUAACACGUGGAUAACCUACCUAUAAGACUGGGAUAACUUCGGGAAACCGGAGCUAAUACCGGAUGAUAUUUUGAACCGCAUGGUUCAAAAGUGAAAGACGGUCUUGCUGUCACUUAUAGAUGGAUCCGCGCUGCAUUAGCUAGUUGGUAAGGUAACGGCUUACCAAGGCAACGAUGCAUAGCCGACCUGAGAGGGUGAUCGGCCACACGGGAACUGAGACACGGUCCAGACUCCUACGGGAGGCAGCAGUAGGGAAUCUUCCGCAAAGGGCGAAGGCCUGACGGAGCAACGCCGCGUGAGUGAUGAAGGUCUUCGGAUCGUAAAACUCUGUUAUUAGGGAAGAACAUAUGUGUAAGUAACUGUGCACAUCUUGACGGUACCUAAUCAGAAAGCCACGGCUAACUACGUG
rnacentral:rRNA from 1 species